rnacentral:rRNA from 1 species
GACGAACGCUGGCGGCGUGCUUAACACAUGCAAGUCGAACGGAAAGGCCCUGCUUGCCGGGUACUCGAGUGGCGAACGGGUGAGUAACACGUGGGUGAUCUGCCCUGCACUUCGGGAUAAGCCUGGGAAACUGGGUCUAAUACCGGAUAGGAGCCAUUUUUAGUGUGAUGGUUGGAAAGUUUUUUCGGUGUAGGAUGAGCUCGCGGCCUAUCAGCUUGUUGGUGGGGUAAUGGCCUACCAAGGCGGCGACGGGUAGCCGGCCUGGGAGGGUGGACGGCCACAUUGGGACUGAGAUACGGCCCAGCCUCCUACGGGAGGCAGCAGUGGGGAAUAUUGCACAAUGGGCGCAAGCCUGAUGCAGCGACGCCGCGUGGGGGAUGACGGCCUUCGGGUUGUAAACUCCUUUCGCUAGGGACGAAGCUUUUUGUGACGGUACCUAGAUAAGAAGCACCGGCUAACUACGUG